UAAGAAUAAUAAUAUACGCAUAUUUUUAAUAUAAUAAAAUUAAAAAUAAUAAUUAAAUAUUUAUGAUAUUGUGCUGAUGUUAAUGGUUCAGUGAGUGGGUUGACUUAUUACUGCUUGAACCAAUUGUUAAAUUAUGCGAAACAAUAUGGGAUUCGAAUUCAAUAUCGCUUUUAAUUUUAUAAAACAAUAGUUUUUUCAAAAAAACUUAAACAGUUAAAUAACGGUGUUUUUAAUAAUGAUAUUCAACACCAUAGGCCAGCAUCCAAUCCUGUGACGAAAUGUCAGAUUAGGUCGAGUCAUGUUCGAAAUAGCGUAAGUCUAGGUUGGGUCGAGUUAUGUUCGAAGUAACGUGAGGCUGAUUAGACCGAGUCACAAUUGAGACCCAUGAAUGCUGUAUUUGUACGCUUUAAGUGAACUGGUUGCAUAAUUCUAACGGUUUGAGUUUUUGGAAUUAAUAGUUAGCGCUAACGAUCCGACAAGUAGUAUCAGAAUCAGAGAUCACGAGUUCCAUUUCUGCGUACUAUACUGAGUUGUGCAGCCUCAACGAUCC
rnacentral:lncRNA from 1 species